AGAAGUUCUUUCUCACAGGUAUGUCAUGAGUCACACAAACUCAGGGAAAAUUUGAAGAUGGUGUCCAUACCUCAGUUCCUUGGACUUCUGCUAUUCUGGAUUUCAGCAUCCAGAGGUGACAUUGUAAUGACUCAGUCUCCAGCCACCCUCUCUGUGAAUCCAGGAGAGAGUAUCAGUCUCUCCUGCAGGGCCAGCCAGAGUGUUAGCAACAACCUACACUGGUAUCAGCAAAAAUCACAUGGGUCUCCAAGGCUUCUCAUCAAGUAUGCUUCCCAGACCAUCUCUGGGAUCCCCUCCAGGUUCAGUGGCAGUGGAUCAGGGACAGAUUUCACUCUCAGUAUUAACAGUGUGGACCCAGAUGAUUUUGGAAUGUAUUACUGUCAACAAAGUAACAACUGGCCUCUCACAGUGAUACAGACCAUAGCAAAAACCACUAGGAAAGCAGAAGUGUGA